rnacentral:rRNA from 1 species
UACGUAGGGUCCGAGCGUUGUCCGGAAUUACUGGGCGUAAAGAGCUCGUAGGUGGUUUGUCGCGUUGUUCGUGAAAACUCACAACUCAAUUGUGGGCGUGCGGGCGAUACGGGCAGACUGGAGUACUGCAGGGGAGACUGGAAUUCCUGGUGUAGCGGUGGAAUGCGCAGAUAUCAGGAGGAACACCGGUGGCGAAGGCAGGUCUCUGGGCCAUUACUGACACUGAGAAGCGAAAGCAUGGGGAGCGAACAGG